rnacentral:rRNA from 1 species
UGAGUGACCUGCCGAUUUGUGGGGGAUAGCCGGGCCAACGCCCGGGUAAUACCGCAUACGCUCUUCUUGGGGCAUCUCUAGAAGAGGAAACCUCCGGGGCAAAUCGAGGGACUCGCGGCCUAUCAGCUAGUUGGUGUGGGUAAUGGCUCACCAAGGCGACGAUCAGUAGCUGGUCUGAGAGGAUGAUCAGCCACAUUGGGACUGAGACACGGCCCAAACUCCUAGGAGG